AAGUCGAACGAUGAAGCCCAGCUUGCUGGGUGGAUUAGUGGCGAACGGGUGAGUAACACGUGAGCAACCUGCCCCUGACUCUGGGAUAAGCGCUGGAAACGGCGUCUAAUACUGGAUAUGUCCCGUCACCGCAUGGUGUGCGGGUGGAAAGAUUUUUCGGUUGGGGAUGGGCUCGCGGCCUAUCAGCUUGUUGGUGAGGUAAUGGCUCACCAAGGCGUCGACGGGUAGCCGGCCUGAGAGGGUGACCGGCCACACUGGGACUGAGACACGGCCCAGACUCCUACGGGAGGCAGCAGUGGGGAAUAUUGCACAAUGGGCGCAAGCCUGAUGCAGCAACGCCGCGUGAGGGAUGACGGCCUUCGGGUUGUAAACCUCUUUUAGCAGGGAAGAAGCGAGAGUGACGGUACCUGCAGAAAAAGCACCGGCUAACUACGUGCCAGCAGCCGCGGUAAUACGUAGGGUGCAAGCGUUAUCCGGAAUUAUUGGGCGUAAAGAGCUCGUAGGCGGUCUGUCGCGUCUGCUGUGAAAUCCCGAGGCUCAACCUCGGGCUUGCAGUGGGUACGGGCAGACUAGAGUGCGGUAGGGGAGAUUGGAAUUCCUGGUGUAGCGGUGGAAUGCGCAGAUAUCAGGAGGAACACCGAUGGCGAAGGCAGAUCUCUGGGCCGUAACUGACGCUGAGGAGCGAAAGGGUGGGGAGCAAACAGGCUUAGAUACCCUGGUAGUCCACCCCGUAAACGUUGGGAACUAGUUGUGGGGUCCUUUCCACGGAUUCCGUGACGCAGCUAACGCAUUAAGUUCCCCGCCUGGGGAGUACGGCCGCAAGGCUAAAACUCAAAGGAAUUGACGGGGACCCGCACAAGCGGCGGAGCAUGCGGAUUAAUUCGAUGCAACGCGAAGAACCUUACCAAGGCUUGACAUACACGAGAACGGGCCAGAAAUGGUCAACUCUUUGGACACUCGUGAACAGGUGGUGCAUGGUUGUCGUCAGCUCGUGUCGUGAGAUGUUGGGUUAAGUCCCGCAACGAGCGCAACCCUCGUUCUAUGUUGCCAGCACGUAAUGGUGGGAACUCAUGGGAUACUGCCGGGGUCAACUCGGAGGAAGGUGGGGAUGACGUCAAAUCAUCAUGCCCCUUAUGUCUUGGGCUUCACGCAUGCUACAAUGGCCGGUACAAUGGGCUGCGAUACCGUAAGGUGGAGCGAAUCCCAAAAAAGCCGGUCCCAGUUCGGAUUGAGGUCUGCAACUCGACCUCAUGAAGUCGGAGUCGCUAGUAAUCGCAGAUCAGCAACGCUGC
rnacentral:rRNA from 1 species